GAUGAACGCUGGCGGCGUGCCUAAUACAUGCAAGUCGAGCGAACAGACGAGGAGCUUGCUACUCUGACGUUAGCGGCGGACGGGUGAGUAACACGUGGAUAACCUACCUAUAAGACUGGGAUAACUUCGGGAAACCGGAGCUAAUACCGGAUAAUAUUUUGAACCGCAUGGUUCAAUAGUUAAAGACGGUUUUGCUGUCACUUAUAGAUGGAUCCGCGCUGCAUUAGCUAGUUGGUAAGGUAACGGCUUACCAAGGCAACGAUGCAUAGCCGACCUGAGAGGGGGAUCGGCCACACUGGAACUGAGACACGGUCCAGACUCCUACGGGAGGCAGCAGUAGGGAAUCUUCCGCAAUGGGCGAAAGCCUGACGGAGCAACGCCGCGUGAGUGAUGAAGGUCUUCGGAUCGUAAAACUCUGUUAUUAGGGAAGAACAAAUGUGUAAGUAACUAUGCACGUCUUGACGGUACCUAAUCAGAAAGCCACGGCUAACUACGUG
rnacentral:rRNA from 1 species